GCCCCCAGCCUUAGGCAUUCUCCAAAAGUUAACCUCAUUAACAUAACAAGACACUCUUUAACAUCCUCAACACUUCAGAAAUUCCAAAGGGUGCUGUGAGACAGGAACUAUGGGUAAAGAUCAGAUAAUGCCUACCAGGGAUUCGGGAAAAAAAAAAGAGAAAGAGAGAGAGAUAAUAUUGAAAGGACCACUGUGUACUCAGGGAACUCUUAAUGAGGAAGAAGAAGGUUUAAUUGUUUAUCAGUCCAUCUUCUCAUGCUGAAAAUCAGUUCACUGCUGGCAUUUAUCAACCAUAAUAUGAUUGAUCACCUAUGAAUUCACUACACAAUGUAAGAAAUAAAAUAAAAAUAAAGUGAAACGUUUAGUAAAAGUGCAAAAGAAAAACACCCAAUACACCAGUCCCUGAAGUUGUUGUCUGGGACCCUCUCAGAUGACUCCAUGAGGAGGCACAGCCUAUGCGGACACACCAGUUAACAAAGCUCCCACCAAAUAUUUUUCACCAAAUUGAGCGAAAGAACAGGUCAAGAAUGAACUGUAGUGGUGCUUAAAAGACAAGAUGGCCUUUCUGCUUCCUUCUUCCUUUCCUCAAAAACUGAAUGAAGUGUUGUUAGAAGACACCAUACUGCUGAGUUAAUGUAACCUAAAAAUUUACAGCAGGUUGUAUGCCUGGAGGCACAUUAUGGGACCACCUGUAGGCAUCUAAUUCCGCUGAAAAUAAUAAAUAAUUGUGGAGAAUUCCUCAGAGUGUAGAGGAGAGUGGAUAAGAAUCGUGUUGCUGGUUCACUCCAACACGGAUUCUGUUGUGAAGGAGGAUUAGAGAACUGUAGUCUCUCCAACAAAUAUGAGUAAUCCUCUCUACAAAAGAGUCUGCUAAAUGCAACACCAGACACCUGGGUGCCAGAUCUACACAGCCAUUUCUGGGGAAUUUUUGAUAAUCCACCUGCAGAAAUUGUCACAUGGCAAUUGCUUAAUAUAGCACAUCGAUCCAUUUGAAGACUUUUUUUUUUUUUACAGUAAAGAAAGUUAUUUUGUCUCUCUGCAUCCUUGUUUAUCUCUAAAGUCUUCUCCUAUUCGGCAGUGUUAGAGAGUGACAGUAAAAAUAUCCCUGAUGUGAUUCCAAGCAUUUAUUUGGAAGAAAUUAAUAUGUGCAUUUUAGCAAUACUGAACCACCUUGACCUUUUUGGACUGGAAGUUAAAAUUAAUUUGCUGAAGAGCUGCUUUAAGGAAAAAGCCAAACAGUUUGUUUGUUGUGCUUUUGCUACAAGUUUCGACGUAGGAAUUCAGUCUUUGCAGCCCCGGGAACAACCACCACCAAGCUGGGAGGAAACCGGGUAUUAGUGUUCCAGGAGGUUCUUGCCAAGCCUAGUAGAACCUUCUGGGCAUCUGGUACGGUCUUGUUCACAGCAUUUUCUCCUCCCACCUUUGAAGCGCCACCACCGGGCGUGCCCUGGCGUCUUGCAAGCGGGAGAGGGAAGUUGCAGAGCUGCGUGGUCCGCCGCCCGCAAGAGCUGAGAGAGCUCAAGACUUGGCCCGCAUCUUCUACAGUGGAUCUGCUUCCCCAAGCUCCACCUUGGGGUUCUGAACUCCUACCACAUCCGGUUGUCCUCAGUUGUGCGGGGAUGCUCGAGGCAGUCAGUCGGCAGGUGGUUGCAUGCUCUUCGCUAGGAGGGGAUCAAUUCCGUCAUUUUUUAAUCGUCCAUUAAUACUCGAAAUAAACAAAAACUAGAAGCAGACGGAGGGAGGGGCUCGCUCCUCCGCUCGCCCCUUAGCAGCAGACCUGAGAAGGGGUACGUGCCUUGGGUUUGUUGGUGUUUGAGACUCGUCCUAAAGGCAGAGGCAGGGAAGACAGCGCUGAAGAGGUGUCCCACACAAACUGGACGGCCGAACAGUCACUGCCUGCCCCAACCACUUUCAGGAAGGUUCCAGUUCUGUGUCACACCGCAACCAAUCCAGUCCCCAUCCUGUUUCUCCUCCCCUUCGCGGAGAAUCCGA